rnacentral:rRNA from 1 species
AAUUAAAACAACAAGUACCGUGAGGGAAAGUUGCAAAGAACUUUGAAGAGAGAGUUCAAAAGUACGUGAAACUGCUCAGAGGUAAACGGGUGGGCCCUCGAAAUCCUGUGGCGAGAGGAUUCAGUCUGGCUCGGCGGACGCGUUGGCGGAAAUCGAGCAGGGCUUCCCCUGAAGGGGGCCGUCCGCCUUCGCGACUUUCGUCGUUCCAGACGCAUUUGUCUCUCGUCCCGAGGACGCUGCAGCCGGUCUGGCAGUGCAAACGUGACGGCCUGAAGGUCGGGAGAUGGCAGGUGGCCGGUGGCCCGCCUCGUGCGGGUCGUCGGUUGUUAGCCGUCCCGUCAGUGGCCCGUCGCCAGACCGUGGUGUCGCGAGUCCCUCCUGGGACUCCUCGUCUCCACCCCAGAGUCGCGGGACAGAUCGUGGCAAGGGUGUCGUGCUCUUCCGUCGCACCCCCUCGGUGUGGACGGAGAAGUACGGUGCCCCGUUGGCCGCGGCGGAUCCGUCGGGGACCGGAGGCUGGCAGCGAGUAGGUCGGUCACCCACCCGACCCGUCUUGAAACACGGACCAAGGAGUCUAACAUGUGCGCGAGUCAAUGGGUCUUGACUAGGCCCAGGGGCGCAAUGAAAGCGAAGGACGGCCUCGUGUCGUCCCAGCGGGGAUCCCCCUUCCUCGGAGGGGGGCGCACCCGCGACCCGUCCUGUGCGGCUCGCCGCUUUGGCGGAGUCUGAGCGUACACGUUGGGACCCGAAAGAUGGUGAACUAUGCCCGGGCAGAAUAAAGCCAGAGGAAACUCUGGUGGAGGUUCGCAGCGGUUCUGACGUGCAAAUCGAUCGUCAGACCCGGGUAUAGGGGCAAAAAAAAA